rnacentral:rRNA from 1 species
GGGUCAGUAGGUUGGUCGUGCCACCGGUACGUACUGGGCUCACUGAUUCCUCCUUCCUGAAGAACUGUAAUGCCAUUAAUUUGGUGUUGCGGGGAAACAGGACUGUUACUUUGAAAAAAUUAGAGUGUUUAAAGCAAGCUAACGCUUGAAUACAUUAGCAUGGAAUAAUGAAAUAGGACGAUCGAUCCUAUUUUGUUGGUUUCUAGGAUUGACGUA